rnacentral:lncRNA from 1 species
UCUCAUGUUGGGUUUUUGAUAUGUUAAAAAUUUUAAUGAUUUAAUAAGAAUUAUGAAAAGUGAAUAAUUUGUUUUAAUUUCAAUGAUUUAAUUUCAAUAAUAGCCGUUUCCGCCGACUGCCUCACGUCUUUGCUUCGCCGACGCCGGUUCCGAGGUCGCCUCCGUUUUGGUGAGAUUUUAAAAAUCUUUUUUAUGAAAUAGUUGAUGUGAGUUUGUUUGUUUGUUGUAUUGUUUAAUUUUAUAUAAUUAAUUUGACA